rnacentral:rRNA from 2 species
UAGCCGACCUGAGAGGGUGAUCGGCCACACUGGGACUGAGACACGGCCCAGACUCCUACGGGAGGCAGCAGUAGGGAAUCUUCCGCAAUGGACGAAAGUCUGACGGAGCAACGCCGCGUGAGUGAUGAAGGUUUUCGGAUCGUAAAACUCUGUUGUUAGGGAAGAACAAGUACCGUUCGAAUAGGGCGGUACCUUGACGGUACCUAACCAGAAAGCCACGGCUAACUACGUGCCAGCAGCCGCGGUAAUACGUAGGUGGCAAGCGUUGUCCGGAAUUAUUGGGCGUAAAGCGCGCGCAGGCGGUUUCUUAAGUCUGAUGUGAAAGCCCCCGGCUCAACCGGGGAGGGUCAUUGGAAACUGGGGAACUUGAGUGCAGAAGAGGAGAGUGGAAUUCCACGUGUAGCGGUGAAAUGCGUAGAGAUGUGGAGGAACACCAGUGGCGAAGGCGACUCUCUGGUCUGUAACUGACGCUGAGGCGCGAAAGCGUGGGGAGCGAACAGGAUUAGAUACCCUGGUAGUCCACGCCGUAAACGAUGAGUGCUAAGUGUUAGAGGGUUUCCGCCCUUUAGUGCUGCAGCAAA